rnacentral:lncRNA from 1 species
AAACAUUCAUUAAAAGCCUUACCCAGUGGCCCUCAUCCAACAAAUAUUCUUUUAUGAACACAAUUUCUCAUUAGAAAAAACACAGAUUUAUUUUUAAAUAAAAAAAUGAAACUUUUCCUUAGUACAAACAAUCCAACCACACACUGUCCAAUCCAACCACACACUACAAUACGAAUGAAUUUUCACUUUAUCCAACAACUGAUCAAUACUGUUUUUCUUGUGGCUAAAUAGUCUAUUAUUAUGUUCCACAUGAAAGACAAAUGAGCUGCAUAAAAGAUCGCUGCGCAACCAACCCACCUGUAGAAUAAGUAAACUGAACAAAAUGACCAGAAAUACUAUAAGGAUCGGUCAUGGAAACACCUAUCCAAUCACGGACUAAAUGCCAAAGAUCCCUGAUAAUUGUACGAGAAAGAAAUAAAUAUUGAGCCGUUUCGAUUUCUCCACACCUGGUCAUACACAAAUGCGUGUCAUGAUUUAGGAUUCCAUGCAUCACCAAAUUUUGGACAAUACCGUUGCCUAAGGAAGAAAGGAGUGUCGAAGGAAGAAUUCAACCUGAAGGUUGAAAAUCAGAAGGAAAUUAAGAAGCCUUAAGGACAGGGGCUACCGAGCACAAGUUAGACAUAUCUGUCAAGCUCAUGACAUAAAAAACGCGCUCAAUAGGAGACAACCUAUUCCGUCAAGCUAAGGACUCAAAAGAAGCGUUGAAUAUAAGACAACUUAUUGAUCGUCGGGACUAAGACAUUAAACAAUCGCUAAAUGGGAGGCAACCCAUUAGUUUAUCUUUUCUGCAUUUCUAUUUUUUGCUAAGUUAUGAUUUCCUAACUAAUGUCAUUUCUUAUUCUGCUACUAAUACUUAAGUUUUAUCUUAUAAAAUUGUAUUUUUUUUUUUUUUUUUGCAUUUACAAAUACAACAAUUUCUUUUAUGCUUUAAUUUUGUUUUAGUUUUAGGAAGUCACUUCAAAGUGUUCACAGUGGAGGCUAGUUUACUUCAAGAGCACAAUACUUUUUGGGGCUUGCUACUGAAGGUACUUAUAGGAUCAACAUCUCUUUUCUGAAUGCUAUUUUUUCUCGAAUUUGCUGUCGUUCUUUACGGACGAUCAGUUAAAAUAUAAUAAACAUAAGACAUUUUUUUCUUUGGUACCUUGAUACUUUCAAGCCACCCUUUUUAUAUUCUUAUUAUCCUUUUUGAAACCACUUUGAGCCUUCAGAAGAUAUUUCUUUCUUAUUACUAAGUGACGAAUCAUGUCACAGUCCUGAACUUUAAAAUCACCUUGUUUGAUUUCUCUUGGAGUUAGAUAUGAUAUUAUCUUGACUGUGUAUGGUUUGAUGCUUAGUUUGACGUUGCUCUUUGGAAUUAACAACAUUUUAUGUUUGGGGUGGGGUAAUGAUGGUCGGAUUAGGCAAGUGUACCCAAUCGUUUACCGAGUACUAAAGUGAUAAGUAGAGUAUCGUAUCCACAUGGGUUGUCGUUUCUUCGAAAUAAUUCGUGUUACUUAUUUUAAAUUGACGAUAUAAAAUAAAAGAGAUAAGGGUUAGAAAUUGCAAUUUUUAUAAGUUUGCAACAUAGCAAGUUACCUGUUUUUUGUUACAUAAAAGGAAACAGCGGUUAGGACUCUUUAAAUCCCCUCUAUUUACUUUGUUGGAUAUUGAAUAACAUUCAUUAAUAGACUAUACAAGUGAUGAGAUUGUUGGGACAUUCUAGCCUAAUCGGUUGUCAAGUUGCACCUGCUUAUCGCACAGUGAUCCUUACGUGUGGGGUCUAUACUAUCUCGGUUGAUUUAGGUUUAUCCCUCUGAUGGCUAACUGCACUUGACGAUCGCACAGUGAUCCUUACGUGCGGGGUCUUGCUAAUUCAAAGGUAAUUGAAACAUAUACUUAAAUUGGCAUUCCAGGUUUUCCAAAGGCAAUGAAGGCCAAUGUUGCAGUAGGUCAGCCCAUCUGUUAAUCUUAGGACACUCAUAACACACUCUCAUUUUCCCCUAAGUAGUUAUACAAACGAGCAGCCCUAUCAACAUCUACCUUACCUAGAGGUCGGGGACAAUGGUUUUAUUUAGGUUUAUUUCUCUUGGUGUUUGUUUCCCUAAUUACUAAACUAGCUACAUCCGAGGUUCAACAUAUUUUACUCAAUAUUAAUAAUGUCACAUCCUAAGUACCUACUACUAGGGUCAACUCUCUUUUGGUAUCUUUCGCUAGUUUACUAAUCAUCUACUUUCUAGACGGAUAAUUACUAGUAUAAGGAAAUAAAUAUCAAGAUAUAAGCAUCCAGAUAGUAAUAGAAAUGUCAAGCCCUCUCACGAAGUAAGUAUCUAAUCUAGGGUUGCACCCCGCCAUAAUAUAUUAAUCUUAAGCAAAACUUAACAGCAAAUAAAAAAUAUAUUAAAAUAAAAUGACAUUAAAUUAAAUAAUUAUCCAACAAACGCAAACCGAUGUUCAUCUUAGAACCCUAACCUAUAGAUAUCUAGUUACACAUGAUAACUAAGACAAAAAUACAAAAAGAUAAAAAUAUAUCCUAGAAAAUAUAGGAGAAGAUAUAACUCCUCCUUGACUCCUAUAAUAGCCUUCCUAUUGAACUGCUCAAGUUCUGAACGAGAAAUUGUGAAUGAGGAAGACUAUAUUUGUAUAGAAAGUUUUCACCUAACUUGGACUAAAAUCACAAACUUCUAGGGACGAAAAAGUCACGAAAAAUGAUUUUUUUCGCAAAACUCAUGUGUCCCGCGCCUAGAGUCAUGCGCCUAGCGCAUGUGCCUGGAUCUUUCAUGCGCCAGGAGCUUACAAAUUGCUAUGAAUGUGGCAAGUCUUAUAAAAGCUAAUCUUAUUAUCUAAUCCUAAACUACAAUGCAAACAAAACAUCAAAAACCCUAAUCCUAUGUUUUGAGUGGGAAACUAAUGCUUUAACCUCACUUAAUGCCAUUUUUGAAUUUCAAAUCAUGUACCCUUUUGGAAUGUGUGCUCAUGUGGCUAAUUAAAUGCAGAUUUUGAAAUUCAAAUAUCCCACCUAUUGGAAUUGUGCUCCCUUCUUUCCAAGACAUGCAGUUACCCACUUCCCAAUGCAAAGGAAUCUGAACCAAACAACUACUUCCUUGCAUUUUGCUCUCUCUCCCCUUUCACGCCCAUUUU